UUGAAUUAGAUUAUUAAUUUUUUUUUCGAAAAAUUAUUUUUUUGUUUAUUAAUUAAAAAGAAAAACUUUGUUUAAUUAUAGUUUACUAUUAAUGUGAGUGAAAUUUGAAAUAUGGUUUAUAAUUUUAUAAGAAUUUUUAAUUUGAAGUACCUUUUGUAUCAGGGUUUAUUAAAUAAAAAUUGAGUAUUUAAUGUUUCUCGAUUUAGGAAGAUUUAAUUUAAUAUUAAUUUUCUUGUUUAAUUAAGAUUUAUAAUAUUAAAUUAGAAAUGAAACGUUAUUCGUUUCCUAAAAUAUCUAGUUUUUUAAGAAAAAAAUUUAAUUUUGUUAUUUUUUGGUUUAUAAUAUUUAUUUAUUUUAAACUAUAAAAUAUUUAAUAUGUGAGGGGAUAAGCUUUUACAUAAAUAUUUAAAAAUUUAUUGGUUUGGAUUAUUAGUAUAAUUAGUAUUGUUAAUCUUUAAUAUAAUUUAAUAAUUAUUAUUCUUUUAAUUAAAAUUUUUAUUGAUUUUAAGUUUUUUAUUGAAAUUAUUUUUAAAAUUUUUUAGAUUUUGUAAUAAUGAUAAAAUUAGUAAAUUUAUUUGUUUAUUUUUUAUAAAUGAAAGGUUAAUUAAAGGAACUCGGCAAAACUUAUUUUCUGCCUGUUUAUUAAAAACAUGUCCUUUUGAGAAUAAUUUAAGGUCUAAUCUGCUCAAUGAUAAUUUAAAUUGCCGCAGUAUUUUGACUGUGCAAAGGUAGCAUAAUAAUUAGCUUCUUAAUUAGAAGCUGGAAUGAAUGAUUGGACAAGAAAAUUACUGUCUCUAUUUAAUUGAUUAAUGAAUUUUAUUUUUAAGUUAAAAAGCUUAAAUUUUUAUAAAAGACGAGAAGACCCUAUAGAGUUUUAUAUUUUAAUUUUAUUUAAUUUUAGAAUUGGUUUUGAAAUUAGAGUAUUUAAUUGGGGUGAUUUAAAGACUUAAUAAAUUCUUUAAUUUUUUUAUUGAUGAUAAGCAAAUUUUAAAUCUAUAUUUUUAAAUUUAACAUGAAUUACCUUAGGGAUAACAGCGUAAUUUUUCUUUAAAGCUCUUAUUAAAAGAAGAUUUUGCGACCUCGAUGUUGGAUUAAAAUUAAUUUUUGGCGCAGUAACUAAAAAAUUAGGUCUGUUCGACCUUUAAAAUUUUACAUGAUCUGAGUUUAAACCGGUGUAAGCCAGGUUGGAUUCUAUCUUUAGAUUUUUUAUAUAUUUUAGUACGAAAGGACCAAAUAUGUAUUAUAUUAAUUGUU
rnacentral:rRNA from 1 species